UACGUAGGGGGCAAGCGUUAUCCGGAUUUAUUGGGUUUAAAGGGUGCGCAGGCGGCGUGUCAAGUCAGCGGUAAAAUGUCGGGGCUCAACCCCGGCCUGCCGUCGGAACUGGGUGCCUUGAGUGGGCGAGAAGUAUGCGGAAUGCGCGGUGUAGCGGUGAAAUGCAUAGAUAUCGCGCAGAACUCCGAUUGCGAAGGCAGCAUGCCGGCUCCACACUGACGCUGAGGCACGAAAGCGUGGGUAUCGAACAGG
rnacentral:rRNA from 1 species